CGCCAAGCGGUUCGUGUUUUUGCAGUUCGCUUUGAGUUCGCUUCGUUUCGUUUUCGCAGCGGUUAAUUUGCAGCGGCUGCGCCUGACGCGCUGCAUCUGAAGAUAUUUUUUGUGUCUGCCUUUUUUUUCGGUUUAUGCUUUGCGCAAGUUUGAAAAAGAGUAAAGAAAAAAUACAACAAAUUUAACAAUAAUACGAGUAAAAAGCCACACAAAGCAAAGCUCAUAAGCAAUCAAUCAACGGCAAUCAGCAUCAAUCACAGCGUGAGCAACUGUCGCAAAUUGGAGCUGCUGCUGUUGGUCAAGUGAAAGCUGCGACAACAACAGCAACUGUUGGUGCUGUCGCAUGCUGUUGCUGCUAUUGCCGCUGCGUCUGCCACAUAAUUCAAUCAAACAGCAGAGUCAACGCCAUCGCCACCGACGCCCCAGACGCGGUUCAUAGAGCGGGCACGCACGUUCCCCCGCCAACCGUCCCCCGCCAGCAACAAUCCGCAACAAGAUUGGCAACAUCGGCAACAUCUGCAACGGCUGCUCAGUCAGUCAGUCAGUGAGUCAGAGAGACGCAGACGCCGCUGCAGACGCCAUUGGCCGUGGCCAGGAACCAGUCGCCAGCGCGACCAGCAACCAGUCACGAGCGCAGCAACAGUUGCUGCUGCGACUGCCACAGGUUCACAAAUAAGUGAAAGUGAAUUUGUUUACGGUGUAUUGCUAUUACCAAAGCGAAAGAGACAUAACACCGAAAUAAAAACAUAAGCCCCAGCAAAGCAGAAGAAGAAGCGCCAGCAGCCGAAAUCGUAGACCAACACAAUAGCAACGCGAGCAAUGCAAUUGUAGUUGGGCUGAGCGACA